GAAGCCGCAGGCUGAGCUGCUGGGGAUUUGGGAAGGCCGUAGCCUGUGAGUAAUAAGGACCAGUGCGAAGCUCGACGUGUUAGGAGGACGGUGGCUUUUCUUUUCUGUCAUUGCUUGGAGUGCUGCGAAGGGUCUGCAGUUGCUGCAGGGAACUGUGGAAAGCCUCCCCCACAGGUGACUCUAAGCCCCCCAGACAGAGGUUCUGGAAGAGGAGGAACUGGAUUGAGCUGGCUCCUCUUCCAACUGUGGCUCCUCCUCCAAAUCCAAAGGGGGCCAGACGUCUUCGGGAGUCACCAUCGACUUGAGCACUGCAGCGCAGAAAAGAGAUAGAGCCAAGAUCAUCCGCUGGUGGAAAUAUUUGCUGGAUUCCAUAGUGGAGAAAGUACAAGAUGCUGAAUCAAGGGGCAUUGAUACACUGUAAUUCAGCAAGGCGGAGGCUGUUGAUGCCAUUUUGGAGCUAAUGGAGAACAUAACAAUACAUCCGGACCCUGGCUCCCUCUUACGAAGAGCCAUGGACACCGUCACGUUGCUC